CCUUCAAAAAAAAAAAAAAAAAAAAAAAAAAAAAAAAAAAAAAAAAAAAAAAAAAAAAAAAAAAAAAAAAAAAAAAACGACUUAGCCAGCAGGAACAACUUUUAACCCUGCUGGCAGCUUGGUUUUUGCCCUACCUUUUUUCCCAAGCUGAUGAGCUUAGUGGCCCCAUCAGCGCAGGGCAAGCGACUGGGAAGGCCAGGAGCGCAGUUUUUUGAUAGAUAACCCCUUGAACUCUGGCCGCUUGGUUUGUCUACUUGGCUUGGCUGCGGCCUAAAAACCCGGCCGCAGAAUGCUUGGCUCCAGGCGGCGCUGGCCCCUUGGCAUCAGCGCCUCGCGUCGGGCCCGGCGUGUCACACGCCGCCGGCGCCCUUGGACUUUCUAAAGAAAGACGGCGGUGCGUCAUGCUUGGGUCGCUCAUAUCGGCGCCAACCGCGCCUCGCGUCGGGUCGUUGUUGAUUCCUCGCCUCACGACCCUUGGACUUUAUUAGGGAGGGAGGCGGUGCGUCACGCUUGGGUCGCUCGUAUCGGCGCCAACCGCGCCUCGCGUCGGGUCGUUGUUGAUUCCUCGCCUCACGACCCUUGGACUUUUUUAGGGGAGUGGGCGGUGCGACAUGCUUGGGUCGCUCAUAUCGGCGCCAACCGCGCCUCGCGUCGGGUCGUUGUUGAUUCCUCGCCUCACGACCCUUGGACUUUCUGAGGUAAGACGGCGGUGCGUCACGCUUGGUUCCUCAUGUAUCGGCGCCAACCGCGCCUCGGCUUCGGGCCUUGUGGUCUCCUCGUCCCAGGCCCUUGGACUUUGUGAGGUAAGAAGGCGGUGCGUCAAGCUUGGUUCUUCAUAUAUCGGCGCCAACCGCGCCUCGGCUUCGGGUCGUUGUGGAUUCCUCGUCCCACGACCCUUGGACUUUGUUAGGGGAGUGGGCGGUACGACAAACUUGGUUCUUACUAUAUCGGCGCCAACCGCGCCUCGGCUUCGGGCCUUGUGGUCUCCCCGCCUCAGGCCCUUGGACUUUCUGAAGUUAGAGGGCGGUACGACAUGCUUGGGUCGCUCGUAUCGGCGCCAACCGCGCCUCGCCCGGGCCGUUGUGGAUUGCCCGUUCCACGGCCCUUUAUUACCUGCGGGUCGUUGUUUGGUCCGGCCCGCUGGUACGGUAACUUGGUUCAAGGUAGCUUGGCUUGUCGUAGCUUGGUUCUACAGGCUUGGCUUAGGUCCAUGUUUUCUAACCUGCGUUCUUAAAGCCUGCUGUUCUAGGUCCAGGUUUUCUACAGGCUGGGCUUGUCGUUCCUUGGGCCUAGGUCCAUGUUUUCUAGCCUGCUGCCGCCUUUGUAGCCUGCUGUUCUAGGUCCAGGUUUUCUAACUUACGGCCUUAGAGCCUGCGUUCCUUUGGGGCUGCCGGCAAGGUCGCCGCCUACUCUGUUCUAGGUCCAUGUUUUCUAACCAGCUGGUGCCCUUGAGUGGUCUUAGCUUACUGCCGCCUUUGCAGCCUGCUGCCUUAGGUCCAGGUUUUCUAACCAGCUGGUGCCCUUGACUUCUCUUGGCCUGCUGCCGCCUUUGCAACCUGCUACCUCAGGUCCAGGUUUUCUAACCAGCUGGUGCCCUUGAGCUUUCUUGGCCUGCUGCCGCCUUAGGUCCAUGUUUUCUAACCUGCCGGUGCCCUUGAGUUCUCCGCCCUGACUGCCACCUUUGUAGCCUGCUUUGGCCACCCGCUGGGAGAAGCCAUAUUGGCUUUCCUCGUCGUUGAACCUCUCCCGCUAGGAGAAGCCUGAAGGCUUUCCCCACCUGCUGCUGUUGGCGUAGGUCCAUGUUUUCUUAGCCCUCUGACUGCUUUUGUCCCCUUGGAGGUGCCUCCUUUAAGCUUUGGGCCUCAGGGUUAUAGGGCUUCUUAUCUGACUCUUGCCCCUUGGCUGUGGCUAGCAGGGAUGGCUUUUCGUUUUGUUCGGCGGUUCUGAGCUCUUUGCCUUCUGCAGAUACAGUGGGCCACCCUUCUUGGGCUGGUUAGCCCCCUCUUCUCCGCCUAGCACUGUUGGGCCUUCACCUCUUUUUCUAGCGCCUUUGGCAGCCCUUCCCUCGCCGGUUUCCUUCUUUUUGGGCCUUUCGUCUGGUGACGCUUACUUCUGGCAGAGGGGUCUUUUGGGGCUGGGUAUCCGCAACCUUCUUUGGCUGGUGAACCUCCUCUCUCUGUUACCCCUUCCAGCUUUGUUGGCUGCUACUAGUCUCCCUUCCUUCUUCUUCAUCACCGUACUCUGUUAGCCUGUUCUCUUGGGUGCUGGCGGCAGGCCCUUUUCCUUUUUGACUUGGCUGGUGCCCUUGAGUUCUCUUAACUCUCUGCCUGCUUGAGGUUCCUCCCUUCUUCUCAGCCUAGUACUGAUGGGUUUACCUCUUUCUCUCUGUUGUCGUAGCUCUUUGGCUGAGGGCUGACUUAGCUGGACUAAGCCUCCUCUGCAUGGGGGUUCCGCAAGUGAGCUUUCCUUGGGUCUGUGGGCUUUCUUCUGAUUCCCUCUGUCCCCCCCUCCGGCCUUUGGCGUCUCUUUGGUCUUCUCUCUCUGGGGGCAGUAGCAGUGGGGUGCUUUUUCUGGCUUAAUUCUGCAGGGGCCUCUCGGCAGGCUCGUUCUCCCUUCCGGCUGGCGGCUUCCUCUCUAUCCACUUUGAACAUCGCUUGUCUCUUUGGCUGGGCUACUUUCCCUUCGAGACUGUGGGCGCCAGAACCUCUGUUGAUCGAGAGAGUGAGCUUGUCACUGGAUUACCCUUCCUUCGAGGCUGUGGGCAGGGCUGAGAGUACUUCUGGGCUACCUUCUCCUUCCGCCACGGGGCUUACGGUUGCACCUUUCCUAGCCACUGGGUGUCGUGGGUGCCUUUGUAGGCCCCUUGACUAGUUGGCUUGUGCAGCUGCGGAGGGCUACUAUUCCUCUCUGGCAUACCUACCCCUCUUUGGAGGGUUCUGUUGACUUCCGGGGCUAAGUCUGCUCAGUUGGGCUUCCACCCUUGGGAGUCCCCCUGUAAUCAGCUUGGCUUUGCAUCCUCUGCCUCUACCUUGGCGGUUACCCAUGGGCUUACUUCUUCUACUCUGUCUUCCUGCAGCCCUGAGGCAUUUGGCAUUUUGGCCCGCUUUUGGCAGCCUUUCCCUCGCCGGUUUCCUUCUCUUUGGGUGAUUACAUACAGGGCCUUUUGGAGGGUUCCCUUCUUUGGCUUCCAGGGCUAAGUCUGCCCCUAGAGACAAGCUCACUCUCUCUAUCUACUCAUCUCAAGCCAGCAACCUUGCCGGCAGGCCCUAAAACCGAAGGUUAGAAAACAUGGACCUAGAACAGAGUACUCAAAGCAGGCUACAAAGCCGGCAGCCAGCCUUGGGCAUCCUCCUGUAAUCAGCUUGGCUUUGCACCCACUGCCUCUGACCACCUCACAGAGCUGCCGGAAGAGACGAAAAACCGUCCCUGCACUAGCCACAGCCAAAAGACCCAAAGAGUGCCGGUACCUGCCCCACUGCCUGCGCACCCCACCAUAGCGCAACCUGCGCCGAUUAAUCGAGCCGAAUCUUCACCACCUCGACGGUUAGAAAACAUGGACCUAGAACAGAGUGACCCAAUGUCCACAGCCUUCAGGGCUGCCGGCUACCACUUGCCCAAAGUACUCAAAGCAGGCUACAAAGGCGGCAGCAGGCUCUAAGAACAAUGGUUAGAAAACCUGGACCUAGAACACCUGGACCUAGAACAGAGCAGGCUACAAAGCCGGCAGCCAGGGCACCAGGUGGUUACAGCAGGCUCUAAGGCCGUAAGUUAGAAAACCUGGACCUACGCCAACAGUGCUCAAGGGCGGCAGCAGGCUACAAAGCCGGUAGCCAGGGCUAGGGGGGACAAAGGCAAUCAGAACAGGCUAGAAAACCUGGACCUAAGGUAGCAGCCAGCCGGCUUCAGGGCUGGAGGGGGCAAAGGCAGUCAGAACAGGUUAGAAAACCUGGACCUAGGACAGAGUAGGCAGCAGGCUCUAAGAACGAAGGUUAGAAAACAUGGACCUAAGCCAAGUCUAUAGAACCAAGCUACCUUGAGCCUAGCCUGUAGAACCAAGCCACCCUACCAGCGUGCCGGACCAAACAACGACACGCAGGUAAUAUAGGGUCGUGAGGCGAGGAAUCAACAACGACCCGGGCGAGGCGCGGUUGGCGCCGAUACGAGCGACCCAAGCUUGACGCACCGCCUUCUUACCUCUGAAAGUCCAAGGGUCGUGAGGCGAGGAAUCAACAACGACCCGACGCGAGGCGCGGUUGGCGCCGAUACGGUCGAACCAAGCUUGUCGCACCGCCGUCUUACCUCAAAAAGUCCAAGGGCCUGGGACGAGGAGACCACAAGGCCCGAAGCCGAGGCGCGGUUGGCGCCGAUAUAGUAGGAACCAAGCAUGACGCACCGCCUCCCUCCCUCAGAAAGUCCAAGGGUCGUGAGGCGAGGAAUCAACAACGACCCGACGCGAGGCGCGGUUGGCGCCGAUACAAUAGGAACCAAGCCUGUCGUACCGCCCACUCCCCU